CUAAGUUUGAUGGCGACCGGCGCACGGGUGAGUAACACGUAUCCAACCUGCCGAUGACUCGGGGAUAGCCUUUCGAAAGAAAGAUUAAUACCCGAUGGCAUAGUUCUUCCGCAUGGUAGAACUAUUAAAGAAUUUCGGUCAUCGAUGGGGAUGCGUUCCAUUAGGUUGUUGGCGGGGUAACGGCCCACCAAGCCUUCGAUGGAUAGGGGUUCUGAGAGGAAGGUCCCCCACAUUGGAACUGAGACACGGUCCAACUCCUACGGGAGGCAGCAUG
rnacentral:rRNA from 1 species